rnacentral:rRNA from 1 species
UAAGUCACGCUAUUCAGAGGUACAGAAAUGGAGUACCUGGCGCNCGGCUCAGUAACACGUAAUGAAUCUACCCUAAGGACGAGGACAACCACGGGAAACUGUGGCUAAUCCUCGAUAGGAAAUUUGGCCUGGAACGGUAUCUUUCCCAAAACCGGCUCGCCGUGAGACACGGGCCUUAGGAUGGCGUUGCGGCCGAUUAUGCUAGACGGCGGUGUAAAGGACCACCGUGGCUACGAUCGGUAUGGGCGAUGGAAGUCGGAGCCCAGAGUCGGCUACUGAGACAAGGAGCCGAGCCUUACGAGGCUUAGCGGUCGCGAAAACUCGCCAAUGCACGAAAGUGUGAGUGGGCUACUCCAAGUGUCAUUCUUACGGAUGACUGUCGCUCAGUUUUACAAGCUGAGAAAGGAAGGAGAGGGCAAGGCUGGUGCCAGCCGCCGCGGUAAAACCAGCUCUUCGAGUGGUCAGGACGAAUAUUGGGUCUAAAGCGUUCGUAGCGGGACAUGUAGGUUCCUGGUUAAAUCCGAUGUCACAAGCAUCGGGCUGCUGGGAAUACCGCAAGUCUUGAGAGCGGGAUAGGACAGGGGGUAGUAUAUGGGCAGGGGUGAAAUCCAGUGAUCCAUAUGCGACCACCGAUGGCGAAGGCACCUGUCUGGAACGUAUCUAACCGUGAUGGACGAAAGCCAGGGGAGCGACCCGGAUUAGAUACCCGGUUAGUCCUGGCCGUAAACGAUGCCGACUAGGUGUUGCAGCGGCCNAGAGCCCUGCAGUGCCCCAGUGAANACGUUAAGUCGGNCCCCUGGGGGAGUACGAUCGCAAGAUUGAAACUUAAAGGAAUUGACGGGGGCC